GACGAACGCUGGCGGCGUGCUUAACACAUGCAAGUCGAACGGAAAGGCCCUGCUUUUGUGGGGUGCUCGAGUGGCGAACGGGUGAGUAACACGUGAGUAACCUGCCCUUGACUUUGGGAUAACUUCAGGAAACUGGGGCUAAUACCGGAUAGGAGCUCCUGCUGCAUGGUGGGGGUUGGAAAGUUUCGGCGGUUGGGGAUGGACUCGCGGCUUAUCAGCUUGUUGGUGGGGUAGUGGCUUACCAAGGCUUUGACGGGUAGCCGGCCUGAGAGGGUGACCGGCCACAUUGGGACUGAGAUACGGCCCAGACGGCUACGGGAGGCAGCAGUGGGGAAUAGUGCACAAUGGGCGGAAGCCUGAUGCAGCAACGCCGCGUGCGGGAUGACGGCCGUCGGGUUGUAAACCGCUGUCGCCUGUGACGAAGCGUGAGUGACGGUAAUGGGUAAGGAAGCAGGGGCUAAGUACGUG
rnacentral:rRNA from 1 species